rnacentral:misc_RNA from 1 species
AGCUUCGGCGCGUGGCAUGUAGCUUCAAUAGAGUACGCGCCGUCGAAGCUGUUGUCCGGAAAUGGCAUCUCCAGGAAAUUUCCACACACAACUUCACAAAGUGAAUCUAGGCCUGCUUUCUUGUUGUGCAAACGCGCACGGUUCACCUGGUACUCGUUAAUGGUGAUGCCCACAACAAUGGCGCGUGAGUGGGCCGCGAUGGCUCGCAUGGGCCCACCAACGCCGCAUCCCACAUCUAGGAUUCGAUCUCCGGGCUUGACGUCGAUGAGAUCAACGGCCAUCUCUUCAUGGAGGCGCGUGGCGUC